AAAUAAGAGACGGUCUUUUUUGGAUUCCAAAUUAGUGUAUUUAUUUAUAAAAAUAAAUAAAAUAAAAUAAAUAGAAAUAAAGUGAAAAAAUAAAAAUCCAAAUUAGUGUAUUUAUAAAUAAAUAAAUAAAUAUAAAUAAAGUAAAAAAAUAUAAAAAAAAGAUAUAAAGUGUGAGAGAGAGAGAGUGAGAGAGACAAUUAAAAAAAAAAGGAUAAUUGCCUAUAUACCCCUCAUACGUUUGAAAAUAUUCGAUUUACCUCUACUAUUUUUUUUCUUUCUAAAAUACCCCUCAUAUGUUCCACCGUUAUUGCAAAAUACCCCCGCAGUUAUCUCCUAUUAAGUUAACUUGGGUUAAACUUGAGUUAAAUAUUUACCACAGUUAAAAAAAAUUAAAAUGCCAAUUUUGCCCUUAACUUAAGGGCAAAUAAGAAAUGUUACUGACGGUAGACCAAAAGUCAAAAUAUUUUUUGUGCCCCUGACUUUAAGGGCAAAUAAGAAAGACAGUGAUGGUGGAAGGGUAUAUUCGAAUGGGCAAAAUAGUAAUUUUACAGAGAUAACAGAGUUAAUUAACAAAUUUUAACUCUAAAAGUAUAUUAGAAAUAGGUUGGAACGUAGAAAGGAUAUUUUCAAUAUUAGCCUUCUAAGAGGAGUAAAUCGGAAAGUCAAAAACUUUUCAGGAGUAUAUAAGCAAUUGCCCCUAAAAAAAAAUGGACUCGACAGGCCCCCAAACUCAGGGAGGCCUCUAUAUGGUUGCCAAUUUAUACUCUCACUCUCUCUCUCACACACACACCCUACAACUUUUCUUUUUUUAUUCUUUUUCUCUCAAUAUUUUUUUUAUUUUUAUCUCCACUAGGUGUAAAAUUUUAUCGCUUAGAUCAACCCUAUUUUCUAAUAGUCAAUAUAACAAAAUUAAAAUUUCAUCAAAUAGAUAUAAUUUAUAAUUAAUAAAAAAUUUAUAUAUAAAAAUUAAUAGAUUUUACCUUUAUAAUAAAAUUUUAUAAAUAUGGUGUAAAAAAAUUGUAAACUGAGUGUAUAAGACAUGUUCACAUAUUGUAUAAGAUAAAUUUUAACUUUAACAAGAUNUUUGACUUAGGAGAAAACCAGCGAUUUUAACCCGUCAUAUGCUUAAACUACCUAAUUUAGCUAUAGGAGCCGUGGUUUGUUUGUAUUACUGCAAUUUUAGAGUAGUGGAUACCCAGGGUAGUUUAGAAUGCAUUUACGCUCGUACUGGGAUGCCGAGCUUAUUUUUACAGCAGUGUCUAGGCUGUUUCGGACUGUCGGGUGCCGUCAGGGUUGACGGUGGACCCAAAUUCCUGUUUUUGUCUCAGAUUGUGCCGAGGGCACGUGAGUGUUGGUUGUUAGACCUGUGUACUUGACUUUAGCCUGUGAGAGCCUUAUUGAGCUCGACAGAGACAUGCUUGCAUACUCGGUUGAAUAGCGCCCACGAGUGCCACUCCGGAGUCGGGGUUUGUGCGUUUGCGUUGGUAUCGUUAUGUCCUGGUUGGACUUGCUCUCCACAGACUGCUUAGUGGUGGAGGUAGCUUUAGCUUUGGCAGGCGGGACGGGUGUGUUCACAGUCCCUAGUGAGAUUGGAUCAAAAUUUAUAUUUUUCUACAGAUUGUUAGUGUUAUAGCAUGAUAAUAUAGUGGCAUUUAGCUGUAGAUUUGUUCCAGCUUUUCUUAUUAUCCCUGCUUACUUCUGUAGACUUGGUGGGUGAACCGAUGAGAUGAGGGCGGUACCCACUGAGGACUACUCCUUUUUGUACUAGUUCUCACGCCCAGUUGUUACCCCUGUUUUUGCAGAGCCCUCGUCUUCAACUGCUGCUGUUGUUGAUUCGGAUCGUGGCAAGAGCGUCGCGAGUUAGAGCCCUCCCAAACGAGCCAGAGCUAGAGGAGUACCAGCUACAGAUAGUUGUAGUUUUUGGUUCUUUACAUACUGAUAUUUUACCUCGCUGGAGCGAGUAAUUUUGUACCAGGAUGAUAUGUAUGUAUUGAACCACUGUUUUACAUAUGGUUUAUUUUCCUAGCAGCUCUAUACUACUUUUUGUCGUGUUGUAUGAUUACAGAUAUUGUUACUAUUUCGCUUCGUAUACUAGAGAAAUUCCUGUGUAUACGGCGGGUCUGGUUGCNAAUAAAAUUUUAUAAAUAUGGUGUAAAAAAAUUGUAAACUGAGUGUAUAAGACAUGUUCACAUAUUGUAUAAGAUAAAUUUUAACUUUAACAAGAUGAAACUAUCUAAUAUAAGGCUUAGUUUGGUAUUUAGGCCUAUCUAACGUCAUUGGAUAAAAUGGAGUUGAGGUAAAAAUAUAUAGGAAUAUACUUCUGCAUCCUCUGGUGGGACCGCAAAAAAUAUAUCAUAACAGACUAAUCGUGAUAUGCAGAACUGAAUAUUACAUACAAAAACAAAUAGAGUAUUUUCUCAAUGUACUUUCUCACCGCACAUAAUGCAAUUUUACUACAAUCCCAAACAAAAUGUAAGUCAUCGAACUUUAGUUUUUUAGUUAAAAAUUUAUUUAUAUAUAUAUUUUUUGUUUUUGCCUAUUUUGUAAUGUCCCUAGGGUUUAGUUGACGAAAUGACUACAGUAUUAAUGACUAGUUGACACAUUUGUAGAGUGUCGGAACGAGUCGGAGUCAUUUUAGUACGAAAUAGAUACGAAAACGGACUCGACGCAUUCAAAUAAGCCAAAACUGAAGUUCUGGCAGUUUAGGGCGUCCAAAAAUGGUUUAGGGCUCCCAGAUCCCGAGUGCUGUUUUAUAUUAGAUGCUGAAGUCAUUUCGGACCCUGUUUAGGGUGCCCGGAAGUUGGGCCCAGAAGUUCACUUCGUAAAUAUCAAUCCUUUUGACAUGUGGGUGUGGUAGGUGAGAUCCGCUGGACCGUUUUAGGGCACACUAGACCGCCGGACGGAGAACCCGAGGAAUGAGUUGUGUAGGCUGAAAGUUCUGGGCGCCCAGAACUGGGUUUAGGGUGCCCGAAUAUUGGAUUUCCUGCAGCAGUACAGGUUAGCACAUGUUGUUCUUGAGGCUUAUUGCACCUAACCCCUACUUCUAUGAAAGGAUUUGGACGACCCCUUUGAACCCUUUUCCCUUUUGUUUCACAAGGAACCGUGAAUUUUUGCAAAUAACCCCCUCCAAUCUCUCUCAACUCCACUUUUGGACCUUGGUAGCUUAUAAUUCUAUAGAAAUCCAGCAGCGAUCUUUGGAGUUUUGACUCGUGUGCGGUCUAAGAGCAUUCGAAUUCUGUGAAACUUGAUUUGGAGGAUUGUGAACUCAUGGGAGAGUGUGUGAAGCCAAUUUAACAGCAAGUAAUUGAGGUUAGUAUGAUCAAAUUGCUAUUUUCUUAGGAUUUUGGUAUUCUUGAGCUGAAAUUGAGGUUUUCUUCGUGUUUAUGGAUCCGUAUACCUUGAGAGCUGGAUUUUUGAUGUGGGAAUUGGUUUUCCAUCAUCCUCUACUGUUUUAGAAACUUUUUCCACCUGAAUUCGAGAUUUGAGAGGUGAGUUUUAACUCAAAUUCGGAUAAUUGAGCUUAUAUAUGUUGAUUUUUGAGGUUUUGAUACAAAAUCUUGGAUUUUUGAAUCUAGAUUUUAAUAGAGUGCCUAUUACUGGUUAUGAAGUGAUCCUCCAUUCAUUCAUGAGGUUUUAGACCCUUCUCUACAGGAAUUCGAAGUAGAAAUUCUCAGCUUUGAGCUGAGUUGCAUUUUUGCUUAAGUGCUGAAGUUCUGGAUGCAGGUUCUGGGCAUCCAGAUGUUAGAUCCGAAAUAGUGUGAAGGCUUUUUGGUGAUCAUUUCGAGCUCAAAUUUGGUGAGGAACCUGAGGAGUUGCUUUUUAGCCUUGUGAGGUGAGUUGGGUGAAGUUUCACUACAUUUGGACUUGGAAAUCCUACACUAUUUAAUUUGAGAGAACAUUCGAUCCACGUGGCGUUAAGAGGAUGUCCUUGUAAUAUACCAGAUUUUAAUGUAGAAGUAAAUAUAAAUAAAAAUAGUGUGAGAUACUAUUUUUAUUGGACUUAAAGAAGUAAAAUAUAAGUCGGAAACGACUUGUGCUGAAAUCGGAACGAAAACAGAAAAUUUAGAAUUUUCUGUAAGAAAUAUAGCUGAUAUUUUAGCAGAAAAUUCAUAGUGUCAGAAAAUUAUGAAAACUGACGAAUAUGUCGGAAUUAUUUUUAUGAGGCUAGAUUUAAAGUUUCAUGUCAUUCUGACACUCGGAAAGUGAAAAAUAAAAUCCGACUGCUAUCUGCUAGAGAUUUCAGUUCGGUAGAGCUUUCGGGGACAAAAAAUGGUCGGAACUGAAAGAUUAAAAUUUUUUUGUUCUUAUAAAGUUAAACCGAGUUUGACUGUCAAAUUUGAUCACAAACGGACAUUCAGA
rnacentral:lncRNA from 1 species